rnacentral:rRNA from 1 species
UGGGGGAUAUUGCACAAUGGGGGAAACCCUGAUGCAGCAACGCCGCGUGAGGGAAGAAGGUUUUCGGAUUGUAAACCUCUGUUCUUAGUGACGAUAAUGACGGUAGCUAAGGAGAAAGCUCCGGCUAACUACGUGCCAGCAGCCGCGGUAAUACGUAGGGAGCGAGCGUUGUCCGGAUUUACUGGGUGUAAAGGGUGCGUAGGCGGCGAGGCAAGUCAGGCGUGAAAUCUAUGGGCUUAACCCAUAAACUGCGCUUGAAACUGUCUUGCUUGAGUGAAGUAGAGGUAGGCGGAAUUCCCGGUGUAGCGGUGAAAUGCGUAGAGAUCGGGAGGAACACCAGUGGCGAAGGCGGCCUACUGGGCUUUAACUGACGCUGAAGCACGAAAGCAUGGGUAGCAAACAGGAUUAGAUACCCUGGUAGUCCAUGCCGUAAACGAUGAUUACUAGGUGUGGGGGGUCUGACCCCCUCCGUGCCGCAGUUAACACAAUAAGUAAUCCACCUGGGGAGUACGGCCGCAAGGUUGAAACUCAAAGGAAUUGACGGGGGCCCGCACAAGCAGUGGAGUAUGUGGUUUAAUUCGAAGCAACGCGAAGAACCUUACCAGGUCUUGACAUCCGUCUAACGAAGCAGAGAUGCAUUAGGUGCCCUUCGGGGAAAGGCGAGACAGGUGGUGCAUGGUUGUCGUCAGCUCGUGUCGUGAGAUGUUGGGUUAAGUCCCGCAACGAGCGCAACCCUUGUUUCUAGUUGCUACGCAAGAGCACUCUAGAGAGACUGCCGUUGACAAAACGGAGGAAGGUGGGGACGACGUCAAAUCAUCAUGCCCCUUAUGACCUGGGCCACACACGUACUACAAUGGCUGUAAACAGAGGGAAGCAAAGCCGCGAGGCGGAGCAAAACCCUAAAAGCAGUCCCAGUUCGGAUCGCAGGCUGCAACCCGCCUGCGUGAAGUCGGAAUUGCUAGUAAUCGCGGAUCAGCAUGCCGCGGUGAAUACGUUCCC